rnacentral:rRNA from 1 species
ACAUGGGAAUUUGGAUGAAAGGAGUAAUCUCCUUUGAGAUGGACCCGCGGCGCUCUAAUUAUCUGGUGGGGUAAUGGCCUACCAAGGACAGCGAUGCUAACCACCUGAAGGGUGAUCGGCCACCUCUGGAACUGAAAUACGUCCAACUCCUACGGAGGCAGCAGUGGGGAAUAUUGCACAAUGGGCGAAAGCCUGUGCNCAACGCCGCUGAGUGAUGAAGGUCUUCGGAUUGUAAACUCUGUCUUUUGGGACGAUAUGACGGUCCAAAGGAGGAAGCCACGGCUAACUACGCUGCCACAGCCGCGGUAAUACCUAAGUGGCGAGCGUUGUCCGGAUUUACUGGGCUAAAGGGUGCCCUAAGCGGAUGUUUAAGUGAGAUGUGAAAUACCCGGGCUUAACUUGGGUGCUGCAUUUCAAACUGGAUAUUCUUGAGUGCAGGAGAAGAGAAUGGAAUUCUAGUGUAGCGGUGAAAUGCCUAAAGAUUAA